UGAAGUUUUUGCAUUUUUGAGGAAUUUGAAUAACGCGCCACGGGAUUACACUGGCUGUUGAGUAGGUGGGACGCAAGACUAGAUGACAUCACAUCUCUGACUAUCUGAAAACCCUUUCUCCUUGUUCAUGUGAUAUUUCUCUCCAGAACCAUCAACAUGAUCAAGCUUCUCAUACAUGUUGCAACUCUACCACUGUGGGUGACAGGGCUGUCACAAACAGACAAAGUCCAGCAGACUCCAACUGCAAUACUAAAAGGACCUGAAGAUAACGUUCAACUGAACUGCAGCCAUACUAUUC